rnacentral:rRNA from 1 species
AGUGAACGCUGGCGGUAGGCCUAACACAUGCAAGUCGAACGGCAGCACAGGAGAGCUUGCUCUCUGGGUGGCGAGUGGCGGACGGGUGAGGAAUACAUCGGAAUCUGCCCAGUCGUGGGGGAUAACGUAGGGAAACUUACGCUAAUACCGCAUACGACCUUCGGGUGAAAGAGGGGGAUCGCAAGACCUCUCGCGAUUGGAUGAGCCGAUGUCGGAUUAGCUAGUUGGCGGGGUAAUGGCCCACCAAGGCGACGAUCCGUAGCUGGUCUGAGAGGAUGAUCAGCCACACUGGAACUGAGACACGGUCCAGACUCCUACGGGAGGCAGCAGUGGGGAAUAUUGGACAAUGGGCGCAAGCCUGAUCCAGCCAUACCGCGUGGGUGAAGAAGGCCUUCGGGUUGUAAAGCCCUUUUGUUGGGAAAGAAAUCUUUCAGGCUAAUACCCUGGGGGGAUGACGGUACCCAAAGAAUAAGCACCGGCUAACUUCGUG